rnacentral:rRNA from 1 species
UACGUAGGGUGCGAGCGUUAAUCGGAAUUACUGGGCGUAAAGCGUGCGCAGGCGGUUCGUUGUGUCGGCGGUGAAAGCCCCGGGCUCAACCUGGGAAUGGCCGUUGAAACUGGCGAACUGGAGUGUGGCAGAGGGGGGUGGAAUUCCGCGUGUAGCAGUGAAAUGCGUAGAGAUGCGGAGGAACACCGAUGGCGAAGGCAGCCCCCUGGGCUAACACUGACGCUCAGGCACGAAAGCUAGGGGAGCAAACGGG